rnacentral:rRNA from 1 species
CUCAGGAUGAACGCUGGCGGUGUGCCUAAUACAUGCAAGUCGAUCGGGCGUAGCAAUACGUCAGAGGCGUACGGGUGAGUAACACGUAGGUAACCUACCUUUAAGACUGGGAUACCCAGACGAAAGUUUGGCUAAUACCGGAUAACAACAUUUGAGACAUCUCUUUUGUUUGAAAGGCGCUGCAAGGCGCCACUUUUAGAUGGACCUGCGUCGCAUUAGCUAGUUGGUGAGAUAAAAGCCCACCAAGGCUGGGAUGCGUAGCCGAUCUGAGAGGAUGACCGGCCACAAUGGGACUGAGACACGGCCCAUACUCCUACGGGAGGCAGCAGUAGGGAGUUUUCGGCAAUGGGGGAAACCCUGACCGAGCAACACCGCGUGAGUGAUGAAAGGUCUUCGGAUCGUAAAGCUCUGUUACGAGGGACGAAUGAUCGCUUUAGGAAAUGAGAGCGGUUUGACGGUACCUCGCCAGAAAGCGACGGCUAACUACGUGCCAGCCGCAGC